UCGUCACACUAUCAUUAACUGAAUCCAUAGGUUAAUGAGGCGAACCGGGGGAACUGAAACAUCUAAGUACCCCGAGGAAAAGAAAUCAACCGAGAUUCCCCCAGUAGCGGCGAGCGAACGGGGAGGAGCCCAGAGCCUGAAUCAGCAUGUGUGUUAGUGGAAGCGUCUGGAAAGGCGCGCGAUACAGGGUGACAGCCCCGUACACAAAAGCGCAUGUGCUGUGAGCUCGAUGAGUAGGGCGGGACACGUGGUAUCCUGUCUGAAUAUGGGGGGACCAUCCUCCAAGGCUAAAUACUCCUGACUGACCGAUAGUGAACCAGUACCGUGAGGGAAAGGCGAAAAGAACCCCGGCGAGGGGAGUGAAAAAGAACCUGAAACCGUGUACGUACAAGCAGUGGGAGCCCCACCACCAAAGCAUUUGCUGUACCGCGUUGACGGAGCGAAGCGACGUCAAACCGAUAAAACAGCAGUGUAAAGUGAGCCGCAGGGCGCUUUGCGCGACAG
rnacentral:rRNA from 2 species